UCACUGAUGGUUGACCUCUCAUCUCAGUGCAGACUCAUAAGCUUCUCAGCUUCUGCUUAAACUGCAGAUUCGGUUUCAGUUGGUUCUUGAAAUGUAUUUCCUGUUUCUAUCAGGAACUGUUUUUCGUGCACAAUAGGUAGCGGAAGAUAUAGUACAUAUCCCUUAGCCUGUCUUAUUUACUAAAAUUCCUUUGGCUUCCUUUCACACGUUCAUUAGCCUAUCUUAUCUACUGAAAUUCUUUCAGCCUCCUCUCACGGUGGACCGGGACCGGGACGAGUGGUACCGGCGGCGGGGAGCCCGCUGCGGGCUACUCGGGGCGGCAGCGGGUGGUCCGGUCCAGCCGCCGCCGCCACACAAUUGGAGCAGGGCGCUUCCAAUCCUCCUCCGCCUCUCCGAGACUCUUCCUGUGCCUGCGAUCCGCACCUGGCUCCCGCAUCGGCUCCGGCAGCUCCGCACCCCCCCGGGCACCUCGGGGCCCCCCCGGGCACCUCGGGGGGCAGUGCCCUCCGGCAUCCCGGCGGGGGUCGGGGCUGAAGAAAAGGGUUUUUACGUCUUCGCGGCUUUCAGAGUGAGAGUUUUCGGGAGGAAGGAACACGUUGAAACUCUGCAACGGGAAAGCAGCUAGUGAAGACCCACUGGGGACUUCCCCUCCCCUGGCUCCUGGGGCCAAGCGUGGUCUGGGGUCCCCGGGUAAGGACAUCGGGGCCGCAGGUUUCCCUCUGCCUGGGCAUGGUGCCCGUGCUGAGAGCUACCUGCUCAUGCUCUGCACCCCACAAUAGCAAGCCCGAGUCAUCUCACCUCCUGCCUAACCCUGCAGUAACAAGCUGGUGUUUUCCAUCGCCCCAGCCCUCCCGUGCAACCCUGCAGUAACACAGCGCCCCAGAGCUGGUGCACGCUGCCAUCGCCGCAGCAGCGCUGGCACAGGCGGCGUUCCCGGGGAAGUGGUGUAACCAGCAGGGAAACCCCUCCCUGUCUGGAGUCUCCUCUGCCUCCUGCCCUGGUGUGUUAAGGAAUUUGAUGAGCAGGAUAUAGGAUGUUAAGGAAUUCGAUGAGCGGGAUCUGAUGGGCAAACCGACCUGUCCCUUGGGGUGGCAGGGCUGGGGGAUGACGGAUCCCUACUCCUCAGUAGUGCCUGUGCUGCCAUACGGGUUGGAGAAGUGGGGGCUUUGCUGCUGUUUGCAAUCACAGUGAAGCCAGGGAUAAAAGAGCGGGGGCUUGCUUAAUCGUAUUAAUGAUUUCUGAAUAAAACAAUCAUAAUUAUUAAAGCCA
rnacentral:lncRNA from 1 species